GACGAACGCUGGCGGCGUGCCUAAUACAUGCAAGUGGGACGCAAGGGAACACACUGUGCUUGCACACCGUGUUUUCUUGAGUCGCGAACGGGUGAGUAACGCGUAGGUAACCUGCCUAUUAGCGGGGGAUAACUAUUGGAAACGAUAGCUAAUACCGCAUAAUAUUAAUUAUUGCAUGAUAAUUGAUUGAAAGAUGCAAGCGCAUCACUAGUAGAUGGACCUGCGUUGUAUUAGCUAGUUGGUAAGGUAAGAGCUUACCAAGGCGACGAUACAUAGCCGACCUGAGAGGGUGAUCGGCCACACUGGGACUGAGACACGGCCCAGACUCCUACGGGAGGCAGCAGUAGGGAAUCUUCGGCAAUGGACGAAAGUCUGACCGAGCAACGCCGCGUGAGUGAAGAAGGUUUUCGGAUCGUAAAGCUCUGUUGUAAGUCAAGAACGUGUGUGAGAGUGGAAAAGUUCACACAGUGACGGUAGCUACCCAGA
rnacentral:rRNA from 1 species